GACGAACGCUGGCGGCGUGCUUAACACAUGCAAGUCGAACGGGUGGCGAACGGGUGAGUAAUACGUGGGUACACUGCCCUCUCUUUGGGAUAAGCCUUGGAAACGGGGUCUAAUACCGAAUAAAGGGGGAUGGGCUCGCGGCCUAUCAGCUUGUUGGUGGGGUGAUGGCCUACCAAGGCGGUGACGGGUAGCCGGCCUGAGAGGGUGCCCGGCCACAUUGGGACUGAGAUACGGCCAAUAGUUCUACGGGAGGCAUAAGUGGGGGAUAGUGCACAAUGGGUGAAGGCCCGAUGGCGGGAUGCGGUGUGGGGGAUGAAGGGUUAGGGUUUUUAAACCUCUGUGUCCAUGGAACGGGUAGGUGGAGCAGAAGCGCCGGCUAACUACGUGCCAGCAGCCGCGGUAAUAC
rnacentral:rRNA from 1 species